rnacentral:lncRNA from 1 species
UAAUGGGUGCCAAAUGUACUGCCGCUUCAAUACCCCGUCCGAUAUGAGGGUGAACAAAUAUUUUUUAACCCUUUUCGAUAUGGGACUUCUUAGUCCUGUUCGACUGAAGAAAUGUCCACGGUAGAAUUUGCCCUAUAUACUGGGUCCAUACACCCUUUUCUAUGACACCCGAUAAGUCUUUCACAUACGUAUCCUCAUUAUCAACUAAUCAUCAAUUGCAUACAAGAAUCUUGUUUCAUAAUUUCAAGACAUUAUAACGACAAUUCAACGACAAUAUAAUUUGGUACUUUAAUCAUUAAGAAAACAUUGUCAAAGCAUUUAU